UUUCUCUCUUUCUCUCUUUCUCUCUCACUUAUCUUCUUCUUUUCUCUCACACAAUCUCACUCAC
rnacentral:sRNA from 1 species